CGUGAGGUGACUGCGGAGGUCAUUAUCGAGUUUUGAACGGGUUGUAGCUGGCCUCUCACGAGGCAUGUGCACGCCUGGCUCAUCCACUCUUAACCUCUGUGCACUUUAUGUAAGAGAAAAAAAUGGUGGAAGCUUCCAGGAUCUCGCGAGAGGUCUUUGGUUGAACAAGCCGUUUUUCUUUCUUAUGUUUUACUACAAACGCUCCAGUUAUAGAAUGUCAACUGUGUAUAACACAUUUAUAUACAACUUUCAGCAACGGAUCUCUUGGCUCUCGCAUCGAUGAAGAACGCAGCGAAAUGCGAUAAGUAAUGUGAAUUGCAGAAUUCAGUGAAUCAUCGAAUCUUUGAACGCACCUUGCACUCCUUGGUAUUCCGAGGAGUAUGCCUGUUUGAGUCUCAUGGUAUUCUCAACCCCUAAACUUUUGUAAUGAAGAUUUAGCGGGCUUGGACUUGGAGGUUGUGUCGGCCCUUGUCGGUCGACUCCUCUGAAAUGCAUUAGCGUGAAUCUUACGGAUCGCCUUCAGUGUGAUAAUUAUCUGCGCUGUGGUGUUGAAGUUAUUUAUGGGGUGCAUGCGUCUAAACGUCUCCUUGUCGAGACAAUCAUUUGACAAUCUGAGAUCUCAUC
rnacentral:rRNA from 1 species